rnacentral:rRNA from 1 species
UACGUAGGGGGCAAGCGUUAUCCGGAUUUACUGGGUGUAAAGGGAGCGUAGACGGCGCUGCAAGUCCGGAGUGAAAGCCCAUGGCUUAACCAUGGUACUGCUCUGGAAACUGCGGGGCUGGAGUGCAGGAGGGGUAAGCGGAAUUCCUAGUGUAGCGGUGAAAUGCGUAGAUAUUAGGAGGAACACCGGUGGCGAAGGCGGCUUACUGGACUGUAACUGACGUUGAGGCUCGAAGGCGUGGGGAGCAAACAGG